rnacentral:lncRNA from 1 species
AUUUCCUUCCCCUCUUCUUUCAAUCUGAUUCUCUUGGCCUCCCCCUCACCCUCUGGUAUCAACAGUCGAAAAAGCAUUCCCCUCUAGGUAAAUCAAUUUCCCCCCUUUUAGCUUUUCUAUCGCAAGAACAUGAGCAAAUUCAUUUGCUAAUCUUGGAACAUGAUUGAAACUGAUUUCUUGAAAAUUAUUCUUCAUUUGUUGAAUAUUUCUAAUGUAAACACCAAUCAGUGAUUUAUCAAAUUCCAAAGACUUACAUUUCUUAACUGCUGCUAAUGAAUCCCCUUCGAUAAUGACUUGGCUCCAUUCCUUAAUUUAUCAACACCCACACUCACCACAAGUUGACACGCUAAAGCUUCACCAGCGAAGGCCAACGCUACUCCCUCAUGGAAACUCAAACAAGCGAAAAGUACUGUUCCACCCUCAUCCCUAGCAACCACUCCUGACGCUGAUCAAAAACUCCGACCAUCAAAAGCACCAUCAAAGUUUAUUUUGAUGACUAAACUCGUCAGUGUUAUCCAAGUAACAAUCUCCUUACUCUUUGUAUUGGUAUAUUUCUCCAACCCUUCAAGUUCUCCUAUAUAGCUAGAAAUAAAAUUUGCAGUGUCUUUACCUGUAAUGACUUUCUUUUCAUAAAUCCUUCUGUUUCUAUCCUUCCAAAUAACCCAGAGUGCACAGUAGAUUAACUUCCUCAGAUGGGUAGUACAAGAUUCAAAAAUCCAAGUAAGCCAUUGUUUAAACUCUAGACUAUAGUUAUUCAAAAAUUGCUGACAGUUUAACUUUGACCAAACAUCGGCAUAGAUGAUCCAUUGAUUCGUCCACACCUAAACACCGAGGGCAGCAAGCAUUUGCGAUUAACUUCUUAGAGUUUAAGUUAGCAAACAUAGAUAGAUAGUUCCAAGAAAUCCUUCAGAAUGUAAUUUUAAUUUUUCUCGGAAGGACUAGUUUCCAUAAGAGCUUAUAGAAAUCACUAGAUCUGGUCUGUAAUGAAUAAGCACUAGGAUCCUCCAAAUUUUUUUGUAAUAGUUUGUAGGCGCUACGAAUCGAGAACUCCCUGAACGCUCCCCACCCCAGGUCAGAAAAUCCUCAUAGGCGUCCUGAGCAAGCAGAAUCCGAAGAAUAUGAUCAAACAUCCAACUGCAUGAAUAUAUCUCUUAUUAACCCCUACUUCCAGUUUCGAUCGCGACACCAUUAAAUUCUGCAAAAUUCAACUAUUACUAGACACUCUAAAAUUUGCAUUACCAAGAAUCCAUGCAUCAUCAAAUACAGAGAUUUUAUUCACAAACCCGCACGCCAACAUAAGCCGUCUUUUAAAACCCCUUUAGCUGCCCAAAUACUUUUCCAUGUGAAUGACGGAUUCGUCCCUAAUUAAGCAUCCAUAAAAUCAGAUAUUGGGAAAUAUUUAACUUUCAACACUCGAGUAAUAAGUGAAUUUGGACGAUUUAUAAUCCUCCACCCCUGUUUGGAUAGCAAAGAAAUAUUAAACAUUUCCAAGUCUCUAAAACCCAUCCCUCUAUCCUCCUUCAACUUACACAUAUGCCUCCAUUCACACUAAUGAAUCCCACGCUUCCCUUGUCCUUUUUGCCACCAAUAUUUCUCUAUAAUGCUUUCAAUUUCACCACAAAAAGACUUAGGCAAUAAGAAACACGACAUUGUAUAGGUGGGAAUUGCUUGCAACACAAAUUUAAUAAAGAUUUGCUUUCCUCCUUGUAACAAUAGCCUUGUACUCCAAUUCUCAUUCUCACCUUAAUCCUAUCCUUUAGACUUUGGAAAGAUGCUUUUCUAUUUCUACCUACCAUAUUCAGCAACCCCAAAUACUUCUCAGCAUUGCUUGAAAAAUACACUCUCAUAAAAUUUAAAACUCGGUUCUUCUCCCUCUCAGGCACAUUUGAGCUAAAGAAAAUUGAUGAUUUAUUCAAGUUCAUACUUUGGCUAGUACAAAUUUCAUAUUCCUUAAGAAUAUCUUUCAAUAAGAGAGCAUUUCUAGUUGUUGCCUCCCCAAAAAGGAUACUAUCAUCUGCAAAAAAAAAAAAAAAAGUGAGAUUCUAAGCCCUCCUCUACUAGCAUGUACCCCUUUCAAAAACCUCUCCUCUAUAGCCAGCCUCAUCAAGGCUAAAAGUCUUUCAUUGCAAAUGAGAAAUAAAAAAGGACUAAAAGGGUUCCCUUGAUGAAGGCCUCUUGAAGGCUAAAAACGUCUUCCCAUGCAACCAUUCACCAUUAUUGAAUAAAAAGCCGAAAAAAUACACCUUAAAAUGAGCCUUACCCAAUCAGCAACAAAACCUAUCUUUAACAUUAUAGCUUCUAAAAAAAUCCAUUCAACCCUGCCAUAAACUUUACUCAUAUCUAACUUUACUGCCAUAUAGCCCUUCUUACCAGUACACUUUUGGCGAAAAGUGUGUAGCAAUUCAUAAGCAGGUAAGAUAUUAUCAAAUAUCAAUCUCUUCGGUACAAAAGCGUUUUGAGCAUAAUCAACGUAGUUCUUAACAACACUCUAAAGUCUAUUUGCUAAAACUUUUGCCACAAUUUUAUAUAAAACAGUACAUAAGCUAAUGGGUCUAAAAGUUGUUAAGUUUUUGGAAUUUUGGGUUUUAGGAAUAAGAACGAUCUCAGUAAGAUUUGCAGUUCAAGAUCAUUACCUUCAUUAGGAACACCCAAAUAGUAAGUAAGAAUAUCAUUCUUAACGAUAUGCUAGUACUUCUGGAAAAACAUAGCUGGGAAACCAUCAAACCUCGAAACUUU